rnacentral:lncRNA from 1 species
ACCAACCCUAAUCUACCACUUGUCAUUCACUAUUUAACUUUUAAUUCUUUUCAUUUUUGCCUUUAAUUUUCUAUUUUAUUUCCUUCUCUUUUCUUUUUUGAAUUUUUUCUCUUUUAAAUUUUUACUUUGCCUCUGAUUUCUCAAAUUUGUUUUUUGAAUUGCACCACCACAAAUCAUAGUGACAACACUCCAUCAUUGCACUACUUAAUCACAACUACAUCAUGACAAAUAAUCAAAUAUGAAAAUUAGAAGUUCUAUCAAACCAAAAUUUAAAUCAUCAUCUUCA